rnacentral:lncRNA from 1 species
CGGCCGCAGUCCGCGCCCCGGCGCCCUGGCGAUGCCGGACCAGAUCUCUGUGUCGGAAUUCGUGGCCGAGACCCUUGAGGACUACAAGGCGCCCACUGCCUCUAGCUUCACGCGCACGGCCCAGUGCCGGAACACCGCGGCGGCCAUCGAGGAGGAUGCAGUGACUUAUGAUGAUGUGCACGUGAACUUCACUCGGGAAGAGUGGAAUUUGCUGCAUCCUUCCCAGAAGAGUCUUUACAAAGAUGUGAUGCUGGAGACCUACUGGAACCUCACUGUUAUAGGCUACACUUGGGAAAACCAUCAUAUUGAAAGACAUUGUCAAAGUUCAAGAAGAAAUGAAAGUGCAUCCUGUUCCUGUCCCAUUGUGGACAGAGAGACAAGGCAGUCCUCUGCUACACAUGUGCCUGGGGUAAUGAGCCAGCCCUGGAUGCUUCUUGGUUUUUGGCUGGGAGGUCUGAAGUGUCCAGGUUUCAGACGUUCAGCCUGAGAGGAAACAGUAUGAGUAACAUUUGAUCUGAUACCAGAUCCUCGACUCUGGACCCAUAUUUUAGAUAAUUUUGGGGAUUGUGAUUACAUCAGUCCUACCUCCUGUGAUCAAUCAGUAAACACAUCUAAUGCCUGCAGCUGG